UAGCUAGUUGGUGAGGUAACGGCUUACCAAGGCGACGAUCUGUAGCGGGUCUGAGAGGAUGAUCCGCCACACUGGAACUGAGACACGGUCCAGACUCCUACGGGAGGCAGCAGUGGGGAAUUUUGGACAAUGGGGGCAACCCUGAUCCAGCCAUGCCGCGUGAGUGAAGAAGGCCUUCGGGUUGUAAAGCUCUUUCGGCCGGGAAGAAAUCGCAUGGGCCAAUACCCUGUGUGGAUGACGGUACCGGAAUAAGAAGCACCGGCUAACUACGUGCCAGCAGCCGCGGUAAUACGUAGGGUGCGAGCGUUAAUCGGAAUUACUGGGCGUAAAGCGUGCGCAGGCGGUUUUGUAAGACAGGCGUGAAAUCCCCGGGCUCAACCUGGGAACUGCGUUUGUGACUGCAAGGCUAGAGUACGGCAGAGGGGGGUGGAAUUCCACGUGUAGCAGUGAAAUGCGUAGAGAUGUGGAGGAACACCAAUGGCGAAGGCAGCCCCCUGGGUCGAUACUGACGCUCAUGCACGAAAGCGUGGGUAGCAAACAGGAUUAGAUACCCUGGUAGUCCACGCCCUAAACUAUGUCAACUAGGUGUUGGGUGGGUAAAACCAUUUAGUACCGUAGCUAACGCGUGAAGUUGACCGCCUGGGGAGUACGGCCGCAAGGUUAAAACUCAAAGGAAUUGACGGGGACCCGCACAAGCGGUGGAUGAUGUGGAUUAAUUCGAUGCAACGCGAAAAACCUUACCUACCCUUGACAUGCCAGGAACUUGCCAGAGAUGGCUUGGUGCCCGAAAGGGAGCCUGGACACAGGUGCUGCAUGGCUGUCGUCAGCUCGUGUCGUGAGAUGUUGGGUUAAGUCCCGCAACGAGCGCAACCCUUGACGUUAAUUGCCAUCAUUUAGUUGGGCACUUUAGCGAGACUGCCGGUGACAAACCGGAGGAAGGUGGGGAUGACGUCAAGUCCUCAUGGCCCUUAUGGGUAGGGCUUCACACGUCAUACAAUGGUCGGUACAAAGGGUCGCCAAGCCGCGAGGUGGAGCCAAUCCCAGAAAGCCGAUCGUAGUCCGGAUUGCAGGCUGCAACUCGCCUGCAUGAAGUCGGAAUCGCUAGUAAUCGUGGAUCAGCAUGUCACGGUGAAUACGUUCCCGGGUCUUGUACACACCGCCCGUCACACCAUGGGAGCGGGUUCCGCCAGAAGUAGGUAGCCUAACCGCAAGGAGGGCGCUUACCACGGCGGGGUUCGUGACUGGGGUGAAGUCGUAACAAGGUAGCCGUAGGGGAACCUGCGGCUG
rnacentral:rRNA from 1 species